UACCCAAAAUUCUUUUGAACCGAUUUAAACUGUUUAUUUCAAAAGUAUCUUAAUGAAACACUUCUUAAUGGCAAUAUUUCCACCAAUUAGUUCUAUUCCCUUCAAGUAUUUAAAGGAGAAAUUAAUAAAGCAUUAAUGCAAUCUUUUAAAAAUCUACAAAAAACUUGUAUACAAAAUUUCUUUCAUUUGUAGUUAUAUUAUUACCAUCUUUAUCAAGACAGGUAUGUUUUACAGGCUUCUGUGGAAUUAAAAACUUUAAAACCACUUAGUCUCAGCAAUAAACCUCUUGAUUAUUUAUAAAUAAACCCAUAAUUAUGAUUUUGUAGUCAUCUUCAGCACUUCUACUUUUUUUAAGAGAAGACAUGACACAAAACAAACCACCCCAAAACGACCAUUUCCUUACAUAUGUGCA